GGCAUGAAUGGUGACACAGCUUCUGUCUUGUGUUCUUGAGAUGCUGGAGCUUGGAACCAGCCCACCAUGCUGUCCGGAAGCCCAACAGCGCGUGGAGAGGUGCAGCAGGAGAGAAGCGGGGCCUCCAGCCCACAGCCAGCACCAGCUGACAAUCCUAUUUGCUCAUUGUGGACGUUUCGUCUGAGAGUGAGCGCACGUCACGUGGUCCUUUGUGACUGGCUUCUUUCGCUCAGCAAGAUGCUUCCUAGGUCCUUCCAAGCUGUAGCCCGGCUGAAUAAUACUCGUUGUGUGGAAUACAUGUGUGUAUGUGUGUGUGCACACCUAAUAAUGGUUACUGAACACUUACGGGUUCAAUGCUGUCCGUCCUAAGAGCUCAUUCAAACUUCAACAACCUGGUAAGUAGGUACUACCAUUAUCCCCAUUUUGUGGAUGAGGGAACUGAGGCUCAGAGAGGCAAUGUGGUUUUCCUAAAGCCACACAGCUAGUAGACGGUGGGGCCAGGAUGCAAAGCCAAACAGCCUGACUCCAGAAUCCACACUCUGAGCCUCUAAGACAUGCUCUGGAACCUCUUUCCCCUCUGAGCCACAUGGUGGAGUAGUGCCUACUUGGGGGUGACUCCCCCGAGGCCUUAAGUCACAGGUGUGGGCCCAGACCCACCUGGAGCCUGGGGGGCACGGAGGGGAGGACCAUCGCCAACACUCUGCACAAGCUUGUGUCCUGCCUCCAACGGCCAGCAGCAGGCCAGCCUCUGCCCACAGCAGGCUGGGCUUCGUCCACUCCCCAGGUCACCUCCUGCUGCCCGUCCGUUCUUCUGAGGGUGGCUUCCUUCUUCCCACCUACUGCAAGC